rnacentral:lncRNA from 1 species
AGGCAUUUCCUUGCCUCUCUGAGUAUUCUUUGUUGUGGAAAUGCAUUGUUUGUCUUUGGGCUAGGUGAAGAGGCCCCCUUUGCAACACAGUUAAUUGUUAGGUCAGUACUCUUGGCAUUAUUGGAAAAUUCAGAGUGUGGGAAUGUGAUCUCGGACACCCUAUCAUCCCUUAUCUCCGCGAAGCAGCUCCCCGGGCCGCCGGAGCAGCGCAGCGCCGGGGCGGCGGGAGCCCAACCGGGGCGGCCCCAUUCCUCCGGCAGCUCCGGUUUGACUCCGCCGGGAGCGCCGCGGAGGGCGGGCAGCCCGCCGGGCUCCGCCGGGGCCGGGGCCGGGGGCCGGGGGGCGGCGGCGGCGGCGGCCGCCAGAUGGUACAAGAAGUUGGCGUGGACCACGGCGGGCGGGCUGCAGAAGCUGGUGCGCCUGAAGCGGAUGCUCUGCACCGAGACCUGGCUGGAGACCGAGCUGGAGUCGGAGUCCGAGAAGCCGGAGAAGGGGUCGGCGGGUGCCAGCUCCUGCCGGAGGUCGGCGGUUGACAGCGCCCGGCUGAUUUUCCUCCGCUUCGUCUUAAGGACCCGUUCGGUUUUGCAGGAUGUGUAAAGGGCUUCCACGUCCUCUCUGGAGAUCAGGGUGCAUUUGGCGGCGUGGAAAGCGAUGGAGUUGAUGGCUUUGAGUUUCCUCAACUCCUCCAGGUCGCAGUGAUGCUUUUUGACUUUUAAAUGAUCCAUUCGCUUGUGCACGGUAGUUCGCGGGAUGUUUUUGAGCAGGUCUGUAAAAACCUGGGAGAGUGCAAACAUUUGCUUUCCUUUAAUGAUGAGGUAGCCGAGCCUCACGCCAUCCACCUCUUCAAAACCCGACUUCAGGUCUCCCAUUUCGUGAAUUAAAUUAUUCCCAGCAUUUGCAGAGAGAGAGAGAGAGAUGGGGAAAAAAAAAAAAAAAAAAAAAAAAAAAAAAAAAAAAAAAAAAAAAAAAAAAAAGAAAAAGCCACACACACACAAUCCUCAGCCAGAUGCUGUAUUUGUCUCAAGGCAUCCUGCUAAUAAAAUAUAACAAAGGCUGUUAUUCCUGGUGAAU